UACGUAGGGGGCAAGCGUUGUCCGGAUUUAUUGGGCGUAAAGAGCGUGUAGGCGGCUUACUGCAGUCGUUGAAGAACUCGAGGCUCAACCUCGAGCGCGACGUGGAAACCGCAUGGCUAGAGUCCGGAAGAGGAGAGUGGAAUUCCUGGUGUAGCGGUGAAAUGACGCAGAUAUCAGGAAGAACACCCGUGGCUAAGGCGGCUCUCUAGUACGGUACUGACGCUGAGACGCGAAAGCGUGGGGGAGCGAACAGG
rnacentral:rRNA from 1 species